GACGAACGCUGGCGGCGUGCUUAACACAUGCAAGUCGAACGGAAAGGCCCUGCUUUUGUGGGGUGCUCGAGUGGCGAACGGGUGAGUAACACGUGAGUAACCUGCCCUUGACUUUGGGAUAACUUCAGGAAACUGGGGCUAAUACCGGAUAGGAGCUCCUGCUGCAUGGUGGGGGUUGGAAAGUUUCGGCGGUUGGGGAUGGACUCGCGGCUUAUCAGCUUGUUGGUGGGGUAGUGGCUUACCAAGGCUUUGACGGGUAGCCGGCCUGAGAGGGUGACCGGCUGCGGCGGGAGCGAGGGCCCGCCCAGACGGGGGCGGGGGGCAGGGGUGCGGAAAUAGUCGGGAGGGGCGCAGGGGUGAGCCUGAAAGGGGGGUGGGGGGAUGCCUGGCUGCGGGUGUACACCCGGGUGGGGCUGUGACGGAGGGUGAGGGACGGUAAGGGGAGGAGAAGCACAGGCUAACUACGUGCAAGCACAGCGGUAAUAGUCGGAAGCGCUCACGUAUGAAC
rnacentral:rRNA from 1 species